UUGGUCGUCGUACAACGGAAGUACGUCAGAUCGUGGCUCUGAAAAUGAGGGUCCGACUCCCUCCGAUCAAC
rnacentral:tRNA from 1 species